rnacentral:rRNA from 1 species
UACGUAGGGUGCGAGCGUUGUCCGGAAUUAUUGGGCGUAAAGAGCUCGUAGGCGGUCUGUCGCGUCGAAUGUGAAAACCCGGGGCUCAACUCCGGGCUUGCAUUCGAUACGGGCAGGCUAGAGUUCGGUAGGGGAGUCUGGAAUUCCUGGUGUAGCGGUGAAAUGCGCAGAUAUCAGGAGGAACACCGAUGGCGAAGGCAGCUCGCUGGGACGGUACUGACGCUGAGGCGCGAAAGCGUGGGGAGCAAACAGG